CCUACGGGAGGCAGCAGUGAGGAAUAUUGGACAAUGGAGGCAACUCUGAUCCAGCCAUGCCGCGUGUAGGAAGACUGCCCUAUGGGUUGUAAACUACUUUUAUAGAGGAAGAAACCCCGAUAUGUAUAUCGGUCUGACGGUACUCUACGAAUAAGGAUCGGCUAACUCCGUGCCAGCAGCCGCGGUAAUACGGAGGAUCCAAGCGUUAUCCGGAAUCAUUGGGUUUAAAGGGUCCGUAGGCGGGUUUGUAAGUCAGUGGUGAAAGUUUUCAGCUCAACUGGAAAAUUGCCAUUGAUACUGCAAGUCUUGAAUUAUUAUGAAGUGGUUAGAAUAAGUAGUGUAGCGGUGAAAUGCAUAGAUAUUACUUAGAAUACCGAUUGCGAAGGCAGAUCACUAAUAAUGUAUUGACGCUAAGGGACGAAAGCGUGGGUAGCGAACAGGAUUAGAUACCCCAGUAGUC
rnacentral:rRNA from 1 species